rnacentral:rRNA from 1 species
UGUGCCUACGGGGGGCAGCAGUAGGGAAUCUUCCACAAUGGACGAAAGUCUGAUGGAGCAACGCCGCGUGAGUGAAGAAGGGUUUCGGCUCGUAAAGCUCUGUUGGUAGGGAAGAAAGAUGGAGGUAGUAACUGGCCUUUAUUUGACGGUAAUUACUUAGAAAGUCACGGCUAACUACGUGCCAGCAGCCGCGUUAAUACGUAAGGGGCAAGCGUUGUCCGGAUUUAUUGGGCGUAAAGCGAGUGCAG